rnacentral:rRNA from 1 species
GGGUGAGUAACACGUGGAUAACCUACCUAUAAGACUGGGAUAACUUCGGGAAACCGGAGCUAAUACCGGAUAAUAUUUUGAACCGCAUUGUUCAAAAGUGAAAGACGGUCUUGCUGUCACUUAUAGAUGGAUCCGCGCUGCAUUAGCUAGUUGGUAAGGUAACGGCUUACCAAGGCAACGAUGCAUAGCCGACCUGAGAGGGUGAUCGGCCACACUGGAACUGAGACACGGUCCAG